rnacentral:rRNA from 1 species
GAUGAACGCUGGCGGCGUGCCUAAUACAUGCAAGUCGAGCGAACGGACGAGAAGCUUGCUUCUCUGAUGUUAGCGGCGGACGGGUGAGUAACACGUGGAUAACCUACCUAUAAGACUGGGAUAACUUCGGGAAACCGGAGCUAAUACCGGAUAAUAUUUUGAACCGCAUGGUUCAAAAGUGAAAGACGGUCUUGCUGUCACUUAUAGAUGGAUCCGCGCUGCAUUAGCUAGUUGGUAAGGUAACGGCUUACCAAGGCAACGAUGCAUAGCCGACCUGAGAGGGUGAUCGGCCACACUGGAACUGAGACACGGUCCAGACUCCUACGGGAGGCAGCAGUAGGGAAUCUUCCGCAAUAGGCGAAAGCCUGACGGAGCAACGCCGCGUGAGUGAUGAAGGUCUUCGGAUCGUAAAACUCUGUUAUUAGGGAAGAACAUAUGUGUAAGUAACUGUGCACAUCUUGACGGUACCUAAUCAGAAAGCCACGGCUAACUACGUGC